rnacentral:misc_RNA from 1 species
ACCUACUGUUUAAUUUUGAGGGUUCGUUUUUACGAAUACUCAAAAAUAGCACUUUAAGCAACGGGAUUUAUCCGUUGGCGCUGUGCAUUAGCACUUUAAGCAACAGAAUAAACUGAACGCAUCUGAAGUUUGUUUGUUGGCGCUGUGCGUUAGCACUUUGAAAACUGCAUAUAUAUAUUUAGUGAUAUGACAUCUAAUUUGUAAUAUAUAAAGCUGAUAACUUUUUAAAAUUAUCGAAGUUGAUAGCUUCUAAUCUAUCAAACCUUUUUAACUGGUCAA